AGAGUUUGAUCAUGGCUCAGGACGAACGCUGGCGGCGUGCCUAUACACAUGCAAGUCGAGCGAGCUUGCCUAGAUGAUUUUGGUGCUUGCACUAAAUGAAACUAGAUACGAGCGAGCGGCGGACGGGUGAGUAACACGUGGGUAACCUGCCCAAGAGACUGGGAUAACACCUGGAAACAGAUGCUAAUACCGGAUAACAACACUAGACGCAUGUCUAGAGUUUGAAAGAUGGUUCUGCUAUCACUCUUGGAUGGACCUGCGGUGCAUUAGCUAGUUGGUAAGGUAACGGCUUACCAAGGCAAUGAUGCAUAGCCGAGUUGAGAGACUGAUCGGCCACAUUGGGACUGAGACACGGCCCAAACUCCUACGGGAGGCAGCAGUAGGGAAUCUUCCACAAUGGACGAAAGUCUGAUGGAGCAACGCCGCGUGAGUGAAGAAGGGUUUCGGCUCGUAAAGCUCUGUUGGUAGUGAAGAAAGAUAGAGGUAGUAACUGGCCUUUAUUUGACGGUAAUUACUUAGAAAGUCACGGCUAACUACGUGCCAGCAGCCGCGGUAAUACGUAGGUGGCAAGCGUUGUCCGGAUUUAUUGGGCGUAAAGCGAGUGCAGGCGGUUCAAUAAGUCUGAUGUGAAAGCCUUCGGCUCAACCGGAGAAUUGCAUCAGAAACUGUUGAACUUGAGUGCAGAAGAGGAGAGUGGAACUCCAUGUGUAGCGGUGGAAUGCGUAGAUAUAUGGAAGAACACCAGUGGCGAAGGCGGCUCUCUGGUCUGCAACUGACGCUGAGGCUCGAAAGCAUGGGUAGCGAACAGGAUUAGAUACCCUGGUAGUCCAUGCCGUAAACGAUGAGUGCUAAGUGUUGGGAGGUUUCCGCCUCUCAGUGCUGCAGCU
rnacentral:rRNA from 1 species